rnacentral:rRNA from 1 species
GACGAACGCUGGCGGCGUGCUUAACACAUGCAAGUCGAACGGAAAGGCCCUGCUUUUGUGGGGUGCUCGAGUGGCGAACGGGUGAGUAACACGUGAGUAACCUGCCCUUGACUUUGGGAUAACUUCAGGAAACUGGGGCUAAUACCGGAUAGGAGCUCCUGCUGCAUGGUGGGGGUUGGAAAGUUUCGGCGGUUGGGGAUGGACUCGCGGCUUAUCAGCUUGUUGGUGGGGUAGUGGCUUACCAAGGCUUUGACGGGUAGCCGGCCUGAGAGGGUGACCGGCACCAUGGGAACUGGAAACGGCCCCGCACCCCGCGGGGGGCAAGGAGGGGGGAAUAUGGCACAAUGGGGGGAGGCCUGAUGCGGCACCCCGGGGGGGGGAAGGCCGGCUUGCGGUUUGAAACCCCUUUCCGCUGGGCACAAAGGGGGGGUAAGGUAAAGGGGAAAAAAACCACCGGCAAACUCCGUC